AACGCACAUGGCGCCCCCCAGCAUCCUGGGGGGCAUGCCUGUCCGAGCGUCGGUUCAACCCUCGGGCCCCCGCGGCCCGGCGUUGGGGAUCUGCCACGGCAGGCCCCGAAAAGCAGCGGCGGACCCGUUCCCGGGCCUCUCGGCGUCGUAGUAGCAUCUGCCUCGCGUCGGGAGCCGGCGGCGUCCAGCCCCUAACCCCCCACUAAAGCCCGCCACCGGCGGCACCAAGGUUGACCUCGGAUCAGGUAGGAAUACCCGCUGAACUUAA
rnacentral:misc_RNA from 1 species